rnacentral:rRNA from 1 species
CUCCAGACUCCUACGGGAGGCAGCAGUCGGGAAUAUUGCGCAAUGGAGGAAACUCUGACGCAGUGACGCCGCGUGCAGGAAGAAGGCUUUCGGAUUGUAAACUGCUUUAGACAGGGAAGAAAAAGGACAGUACCUGUAGAAUAAGCUCCGGCUAACUACGUGCCAGCAGCCGCGGUAAUACGUAGGGAGCAAGCGUUAUCCGGAUUUAUUGGGUGUAAAGGGUGCGUAGACGGGAAGGCAAGUUGGUUGUGAAAUCCCUCGGCUUAACUGAGGAACUGCAACCAAAACUGCCUUUCUUGAGUGCUGGAGAGGAAAGUGGAAUUCCUAGUGUAGCGGUGAAAUGCGUAGAUAUUAGGAGGAACACCAGUGGCGAAGGCGCCUUUCUGGACAGUACCUGACGUUGAGGCACGAAAGUGUGGGGAGCAAACAGGAUUAGAUACCCCG